UACGAAGGGUGCAAACGUUGCUCGGAAUUAUUGGGCGUAAAGCGCACGUAGGCGGCAUUGCAAGUCGGAUGUGAAAUCCCUCGGCUUAACCAAGGAAGUGCAUCCGAAACUGCAGUGCUUGAGUACUUAAGAGGAUCGCGGAAUUCCCGGUGUAGAGGUGAAAUGCGUAGAUAUCGGGAGGAACACCAGUGGCGAAGGCGACUACCUGGCCUGUUCUUGACGCUGAGGCGCGAAAGCUAGGGGAGCAAACGGGG
rnacentral:rRNA from 1 species